UACGUAGGGUGCAAGCGUUAAUCGGAAUUACUGGGCGUAAAGCGUGCGCAGGCGGUUGUGCAAGACAGAUGUGAAAUCCUCGGGCUCAACCUGGGAAUGGCAUUUGUGACUGCACGGCUAGAGUGUGUCAGAGGGGGGUAGAAUUCCACGUGUAGCAGUGAAAUGCGUAGAUAUGUGGAGGAAUACCGAUGGCGAAGGCAGCCCCCCUGGGAUAACACUGACGCUCAUGCACGAAAGCGUGGGGAGCAAACAGG
rnacentral:rRNA from 1 species